GGGAUUGCCCGUAGUAUUCGGCGAGUGAACAGGCAAGAGCUCAGAUUUGAAAGGCACUUUUGUGCCGUUGUAUUCUGAAGUUAGGGUCCUGAGAAACGAUGCUUAAGUCUUCUGGAAAGGAGCGCCAUGGAGGGUGAUAGCCCCGUCUAGCAUUGACCUCAUAUAGGAUCUUAACAUGGAGUCGAGUUGUUUGGGAAUGCAGCUCAAAUGGGUGGUAUGCUCCAUCUAAAGCUAAAUAUCUGCGAGAGACCGAUAGUAAACAAGUACUGUGAGGGAAAGAUGAAAAGAACUUUGAAAAGAGAGUGAAAAAGUACGUGAAAUUGUUGAAAUGGAAGGGUAGGCCGCUAACCAUGUAGAGCCGUGUUUGGGGGGAAGAUAAAUGCUGUAGACAUGUAGCUCCUCGGAGUAUUCAAUAGCAUGCAGUUCAUAUUCCCAACCCGUAGUCGUCGUAGGCAUCUCAGUU
rnacentral:rRNA from 1 species